rnacentral:lncRNA from 1 species
AUGUUUUGCCUUUUCUUUUGCUCAUUGUUCCCUAAAGCCACAUAUUUGUUUUAUGAUUUUCCACCUUCACAUGCCAUUUCUUCUUAUUCUCCCCAGAUGCCUCAUUGCUAUGUCUCUCCCUUUUUUCUCCAGCAUCUUACUUGCUGUUGGAAGUCUGGCUUGACCCAAUGUGAGGCCCUCUUCUCCAUUCCAGAUCCAGGACACCAUUCCCUGAAGGAGCCAUCAGGGGCCUGUGGGAUAGAGGCCAUUGCUGGGGAUGCCCUGAUAGAGGUCCUUCAACAAAUAACAAGUAAGAGGCUGCAGUUUCUGCAACGAGAGAUGAUGGGGCUGAAAUGUCAGCAGGACAGACCAGGAUGGAAGAUCAAUCACGGAGCGACCUUGCUUCUGCUUUCAAGUUUACUGCAUGAUCCCAAGACAGCUGCUGGAGAAGCCAGUGGAUGGACAGCCAGUUACCACAUUCACAUUCCAGGAAAGCAACAGGCCUCAGGAGGUGAGGACAAAAGAUCACCCACCCCCAUCCCUUUAAGAAACCUUCCUGGAGUUCCCGUCGUGGCGCAGUGGUUAACGAAUCCGACUAGGAACCAUGAGGUUGCGGGUUCGAUCCCUGGCCUUGCUCAGUGGGUUAAGGAUCUGGCAUUGCCGUGA